rnacentral:rRNA from 1 species
UACGAAGGGGGCUAGCGUUGCUCGGAAUCACUGGGCGUAAAGGGUGCGUAGGCGGGUCUUUUAAGUCAGGGGUGAAAUCCUGGAGCUCAACUCCAGAACUGCCUUUGAUACUGAAGAUCUUGAGUUCGGGAGAGGUGAGUGGAACUGCGAGUGUAGAGGUGAAAUUCGUAGAUAUUCGCAAGAACACCAGUGGCGAAGGCGGCUCACUGGCCCGAUACUGACGC